GAUGAACGCUGACAGAAUGCUUAACACAUGCAAGUCAACUUGAAUUUGGGUUUUUAACUUCGGUUUGGGUGGCGGACGGGUGAGUAACGCGUAAAGAACUUGCCUCACAGCUAGGGACAACAUUUGGAAACGAAUGCUAAUACCUAAUAUUAUGAUAAUAGGGCAUCCUAUAAUUAUGAAAGCUAUAAGCGCUGUGAGAGAGCUUUGCGUCCCAUUAGCUAGUUGGAGAGGUAACGGCUCACCAAGGCGAUGAUGGGUAGCCGGCCUGAGAGGGUGAUCGGCCACAAGGGGACUGAGACACGGCCCUUACUCCUACGGGAGGCAGCAGUGGAGAAUAUUGGACAAUGGACCGAGAGUCUGAUCCAGCAAUUCUGUGUGCACGAUGAAGUUUUUCGGAAUGUAAAGUGCUUUCAGUUGGGAAGAAACAAAUGACGGUACCAACAGAAGAAGUGACGGCUAAAUACGUG
rnacentral:rRNA from 1 species